GACGAACGCUGGCGGCGUGCUUAACACAUGCAAGUCGAACGGAAAGGCCCGGCAUUUGUGGGGUGCUCGAGUGGCGAACGGGGGAGUAACACGUGAGUAACCUGCGCUUUACUUUGGGAUAAAACCAGGAGACUCGGGCGAAUAUCGGACAUGAGAUCCUUAUGCAUGGGGUGUGUGUGAAAGUGUCGGAGGUUGGGGAUGGACUCGCGGCUUAUCAUCUUGUUGGUGGGGUAGUGGCUUACCAAGGCUUUGACGGGUAGCCGGCCUGAGAGGGUGACCGGCCACAUUGGGCCUGAGAUACGGCCCAGACUCCUACGGGAGGCAGCAGUGGGGAAUAUUGCACAAUGGGCGGAAGCCUGAUGCAGCAACGCCGCGUGCGGGAUGACGGCCUUCGGGUUGUAAACCGCUUUCGCCUGUGACGAAGCGUGAGUGACGGUAAUGGGUAAAGAAGCACCGGCUAACUACGUG
rnacentral:rRNA from 1 species